UGUACUGUUAUUGGAAAGAAAAAUAAGUUUUAAUUACUGAUUGUUGUUAAAAUUGAUACCCUGUGAGCAGUUGGUUUCUCCUAUGCUAAACAAGUGAGAACUGAUUGCAGGGUAUAAAAUUGAAUGAUUAGUUUAUUAAUUUCAGUUUAUGUUAUCCAGGGGUUGAAUGAAAUUACUUCCUACACUAAUAAUGCUAAAAGCUUCAUGUAAUUGGAUUGUUUCUUUAGGUGAAGAAUGACUACCUUCAACACAACAGUGAAAAAGCUGAUGAGGAUACUGCCUUCAGACUUGGGGUUUUGGAAAUGAGGAGGUAUUUCAAGGAUAUGCCUCAAAUCGCACUUGAUAAGAAGUCAAACUUUGAGUACAUUGAGAAAGAAGUUGGCAUGACCAAAUUUAUACCAAAGGCUGUCUUGGAAAAUAUGAAGGUGAGAUUUAAUUAUGUCUUAACAUGUAACUGAUCUGAGGAGAUACAUGUACUGUUGUGUUGCCCAGCAAGGUAAAAUUAUAAUGCUCAAAAACUAAACUAUAUAAUGUAUUUGGUCAUGUCAUUCGAUAUACCAGUUUAUUAUAUAGACACGAGUGUUUUAAUGGAAAAUACACCACUUGUAAAAUUCAUACAAAACUACA